rnacentral:rRNA from 1 species
UACGGAGGGUGCGAGCGUUGUCCGGAAUUAUUGGGCGUAAAGCGUGCGCAGGUGGUUUCUUAAGUCUGAUGUGAAAGCCCACGGCUCAACCGUGGAGGGUCAUUGGAAACUGGGAGACUUGAGUGCAGAAGAGGAAAGUGGAAUUCCAUGUGUAGCGGUGAAAUGCGUAGAGAUAUGGAGGAACACCAGUGGCGAAGGCGACUUUCUGGUCUGCAACUGACACUGAGGCGCGAAAGCGUGGGGAGCAAACAGG